rnacentral:tRNA from 1 species
GAAAUAUAAAUAAACUAAGCUUCUAACUUAAGUUUCUAGCGAAAUUCGUUAAUAUUUCU